UCAUCCUUGGACAGACUACGAUUGCUCCAGGAAAAGGAGAAGCGGGCUUUAACCCCAUACCCCACCACCUCUCCCAAAGCAGGAUCAUCUCCUUCCAGUAGCUCCUGGAACUCACACCAAGAAAGACCAACACGGUGCUGGGGCUUGUUUUGUUUUAUAAGCUUGAGGUUGACGUUUUAAUUUUUGUGAUCUAUUUUGUUAUUUUUUUUGUGACGUCCUUUCUUACAUGUUUGCAUUGUUUAAAUAUGCUUGCAUUUUCUAUAUAAAAGUUAUAUUAGACGGACACUGCUCCAUCCUCACCAGAUGUACAUACUCCACUGUCUGCUGGGAAAACCCCUGGAUUUCGUUUUUAUUCAAUUACUUAAAGAUGACUUUCCAUUAAAAUAUAUUUUGCUACUAAA
rnacentral:sRNA from 1 species